rnacentral:ncRNA from 1 species
AAGCAGAGAUAAAAACGCAACGCACAUUCUCGGAUGUGCCAGAGCCGGUAGGUAGCCCGGCCGUCCUGUAAUGGUUUACAGGGUAAGUAACCUGCCCCUCCGGGUUGUCCGUUCUUUGCUCAUU